AUCGGUAUGGGGCGAAUUGGGUCCGCAGGGAAGAGUUUGUGGAGGCUGGUUUUCAGAGACUGCCUCUGUUGUAGGAAAUCAAAUGUAAAUCUUCCCAGAGUCACUUACAGUACUUGUUUUUGGUGACUACUCUCAGUGGCCACUGGGGAUUGCCUUCCAGGGUUCUGGGCUACGGUUUCCUCAUUUGUAGGUUGGGGAUCACUACUCUGUGAGCGAUUCAAGGCGCGCAGACCCAGGUGAGGCGCUGGCAACCCGAAGUCCGCCGGGUUAGAGAAGCCAGAAGGAGCACGGAGACCAGAGAGAACCGACUGGCGGACUCAUCCUUGAUGACAGAGACUCAUGGACUCUGCAGGGCAGACCCCACCGGUGUUGAAUAAGCCUUUUCUGAAGGUGGUGCUCUAGCUUCUUCCGAAGCUCUUUUUUGAGGGGAAAAUCUCCCGGAAUGAUGGUUGUUGGAGCAUAAGCCUUGGAGGACCGUCUAUCAGAUAAAACACUGGGAGCUGCAGGACAAAACUCUUCCUUGGAUUUUUGAACCACAGAGGGUAAACCCCACAAACUUUCCUGUCCUUUCUGUAAUACAUUAUAUUCCAAGUCAUGAAUUUUGGAUGGCAUGAGAGAGUGUACCUCAUCCUGGAAUCUAUGAAUCCUCACUCCACCAUCACUAACCUGAGAUGAAAUGGGUGGUGACAAGAAGGGCCAAGACAUCAGGGCAUAGAAAUGAGAGGUUUCCGGGCUCUACAAGGAUGGCUGUAGUAUCACUCUCAAAAGAGGCCUCAGGAGGAUGGAGGUCGAGGAGGUUUUUGUCAUCAUCAGAGUGCUCCAAUUUAGAUGGAGACAAGUUUUCAGCAUGAGACUGGUUUCCAGAGAACUCUGACACUGGAAGGCUUGCACUGUCAGUGCAUGUGGUUGUUGGGACAUUAGUAGACAACCCAUCAGGGCUAUCCACCAGAGACAAAGGGGCUUCUGGUUGGAGAACAGGUUUUGCUUCUUGACUGUCAGUUGGUGGGGGAAGGGUUGGAACAGGUGGGGGAGGAGUUGGAACAGAUGUUUGAGGUGGGAUAUGAUCCACUGGCAAUUUUGAACUCAAGGGAGAAGGCUCUGGUGGCAGAGAGUCACCCAGUAAUGAGGGUCCAGGUAGGUCCAUUAAAGGGGUAAUUUGGUCAGGUGAACGAAUAGAGGAAGGAAAUAGAGUUGGCUCAGUUAAAGGAGUUGAAACUGAAGCUCCCGGAGGGAUUGCAGAGACAACAUCGGACAGAAAAACUGAUGACUUUCUCACAGACGUCACGGAAGACACACGGGACACAGAAUUAAGAGCAUCUUCCAAGGACGCCUUACAGAUCAGUUGACUGACCUCAGCUGCUGUUCUAUUACACACCCUACAGAGCGGGUCUGGACAUAACAGUCGCCGAAAGCGGAGGAAAUCAUUAUUCUGGCUCAUGGGACUGUAAGAGAAAGAAAGCCAAAGCUGUAACCAGAACCACUACAAGGUAAGCAAGAUCUGCAGUUCUAUGGGUGGUGGGGAGCCCGCUACCUGCUCUACAUUCCACACAUCUAUGACCUCACAAUACCCUCCCCUCCCAAGUUCUUUAUUCACAUACCCAUGGCUAUGGCUAUCCCUCCUGUGAUUAGGGCAUGUUGCGAAGAAUUCCUGGGGGACUGAAUAAAGCAUGCUAGGAAAGGAAUCAGUAAAGGGAAAUGACUAAUCACCUUUUCAGAAUAGAAAGCAGCUUCCUCCCCUCCUCUACUUCUCUCCGGCAAGUUCUCCGACCUGGAAAACCAGGACAGUUGGUUAUAUAUAGUAAAGGUAAAAACACAGGUUAUCAUUCAGGAGUUUUUACAGGAAACAGGAUAUUAAAGUCAGAAAGCCCUAAAAAUCUGCAGAUAAGGUCAUAAGUGUCAGGGAUAAUAGUAAGAAGGUUCACAGGUAUAUGUGGUUCCAUUUAGAAAGUACUUUCACCUGUACCAUCCUACAUGCUGCUCAAAACCACCACCUGAAGCACAAGGAUCAGUAGCUAACUCAGGAUGAAUCUAAUCAGCCAAGAAUUAGAGUAGUUUACACCAUGUCACCAGACAGAAAUUCUGACUCCAAGACAAUCAGGGGUCUUUGGACAUCUCACAGGGCCACCUACUUGGCAGUAAAUGUCCAAGGCCCAGGUCCAUCACUACUUCAUUCACACCCAAGGAAGGGUGGGCAGGGAAGGGACUCUGAAGAAUCUCUCAGGUCUCACUGCCUUCUCCUGAGCCUCUCCUCUGAGACCCUGCUUCCUGAGAGAGACUGCACCUAGAAACUGACAUCCUCCAAGAUCAUGGAGCUGUAGGGAGAUAGGAAAGUUCACCCUUAUAGAGCUCAGGUUGAACAGGCAGAACCUUACCUUUAGAUACUCCAUUUCUCCUUCUCUUUGUUCCCUGACACUGAAAACAAAAAGAAAAGAAUGAGGGGCUGGGGCUCAUUUCUUUUACUCCUUUUGUUAACAAGCUUAGACAUUCAUUAGGCAAGAAUUGGACAACUCUUCAUUUUUAAUUAGUAGAAAUUGUAUUCCUUCCUUUUAUUAAUCUUGAAGGGCAAUGAAAUAUUUUCAAUUUUUUACUUCUUUGAUAAUUUCAAAGGACAUUUUUUUCUGUGAGAUUCCACAUUUGAUGGUCUUAAACCCUCUGCGGAAGGAGGGCAUAGAAUCUGAGGCCAACAGUUACGUCUGGGCUCCCCCGGGGAACCCUGUGUCCUGGGGCAGAGCUCAGGCUACAGGCUCUACUCUGAGGUCAGCACUGCUGUCCUGAUCAGCCCAAUAUGAAGGCUGGGUGAAGCACAUCUGACAUGGGAAUGAGACUCAGAAUCUAGUCAGAAGAGACCUGUCUCCUUCAGAGAAGCCACACUCUCUAUCCAAACCAAUCUGGAACCCUCCAUCACACCCCAAAAGAUAGUCUGUGAGCUUCAGAUGGAAACCUUAGUCCUUCCCAAACCUCUGACUUCUUUCCCUAAAGAGUGAAGUUCUAUCUUGUCCUCAGACUUCCCAAGUCACAUCUCCUUUGAGCCAACCAAACAUUUAGUAAUGUGAGAAUGGAAAUAACAAAUCACAUUUGACAUUUCACAAAACAUUUCACAUUUGACAAAAUCAAGAAACUCCCUUGGGAGUUCACUCUGCUUCCUUACCUUCUUCUGGAUGGCUUUAUUUUUCUCGAGUGUUGGUGAAAAUCGUUUCAAUACCUGAAAGGACAGGUAUAGAAAAAGCAACACCAACCCACUCAAAAUGGUACUUUGGGGAUCAAUAUCCCAAAGAAUUGAACCAAGAUCAACCAUGGUUCAGUAUGGCUAUUCAGCAAAGAGAAAACAUUCUUCAUCUUCUGAAUUGCUCGGUUGCCUAAGGCAAAUGAGUUCUGAAGGUGCCUGGGCUUCUCUAUAUCUCCAGGCUUGCAUCACACACCAUUGAAGAGUCACAAAGGGAAAGGAUUCUGAGGGUGGGGAGAGAAGACUUGAGGAGGUUGUGCCCCUCCUCCACCUGCCCACCAGCCAGCAGAUCCUUCUGCUCAGGUCUGUUGUUCCAUUUCCCACUCGACUCUUUCCUCAUAUCAUGCCUUCAUUAUCUCAGGGAGCAUUCCUGUUUGUUUCAUGUGUAACCAAGAUGUUUUACAUGAGUCCCUUUUUACUGUUUGGAUCCCUUGACUUACACCCCACCAAUUCCACUGCCUUGAAAAUCUGACAUACACUGCCUGGAAUUUUUGCUUGUACCAAGACAUUUACACUCUUGGGUCACCUACAUCCUUAAAUCUAUCUUAUCUACAGAAAGCUUUUGCUUUACUCUAACUCACAUGUAAAACUUAAUGUUCUUUCAUACUUAUGUAGUUUUAUAAGUUUCAAUAGCAAAUUUUUGUUUCAAUCAGCCUGUAGUGUCUUCAAUCACAGUGGCUCACUCUCAUUAAAACUAAUAAUUUGUUAGUCAACACUGUGAAACAAAAAUAAACAUUAAAAAAAAUCUAAAUAAAAUUGAAACUUCAAGUGAUCUUGGAGAUAAGUUUAUAACGCUUGUUUUUUUCUGAAGUAGUGAAGAUUAAACAUAACAAAGACUAUUGGAUGUGCUCUAUUUCCCACCCCCUGACAAAUUGAUCCAGUGUUUUCAAAUCUGAUAAUCAACCAUCUUCUCAUUUUUUUUCAAUUCUUCAUUCAUUAUUUUGAUCUAACUUGCUUUUAGCUACCUAAAAUUCAAAUAUUCCCUGCCUCCAUAUCAAUUUCAUAAUGCUUAUAUGACUUUCUCAAACCAGGAAGAGGUUAUGGUGUGCUAAGGAAUUGAACCCUCAGUCCUUGGUGGCAGGAAGCCACCUAAAAUGUCAGAACCUUAGGGCAGAUUCUAGUCUUGAAGAGCAUUACCCUUGUGGGACACAUAAUUUUGAUAUUUUCCUAAGAAAAUAAGAGUGUCUUGCCAUGAAAAAAGCUAUUAAGAUCUGUGCUAUAUAAGCACCCUACUACUAAUGGAAAAUCAACUGCCAAUCAUACAUGAUUCAAGCAAAACUUUUGAUAUUUAAAUAGCCCCAAUAUUGCCCCAGCCUUCUUCUUACACCUGCUUUUUAAAACCCUUUAUCAUCAUGACAGCUAUCCUCCUAACUGUCCCCUAACUUGUCAUGUCUUUUUUAAACCCUGAAACCUCUUAUCUGAUGCCCAUAACCCAGCAGCAUUAUUGAUCUCUUUGACAGGAUAAGGCAGCCUCCAAGCCAAGCAGUCUCUAUUCAGUUAGGCAGGAGCAGGUACCCUGCCUUGAAGAUCCCCCAUCCUUUUGAUAUGCAGCCUCAGUCAGGUUUCCAUUUAACAAAUAUUUACUAGUGAAGACUAGGAGACAUGGACAGCUGUAAGUCACAGGCUCUGCCCUUAUCCUUAAGGAGCUCAUGUUGAGACUGUAGAGAUAAGUCCUACACAGUUGGAAAGCUGUACAAAGGCAGAAGAAAGGUCCAGAACCCCUUAGCAUUUGUUAAUUCCCAAGAGAUUUGUGGAGUAGAUCAGAGACUGUGGGUGUUAACAGCUAGAACACAUCAUGCUCUGUACCAAGGCUUCCCUGCCUGUCUCCCCAGUUUUCUGAAACAAAAUCACAAUCCUUUGGGAAGAUAAAGAAAAUCUUUUCUCUCUCUCUCUCUCUCUCCCUUUCUCUCUCUCUCUCUCUCUCUCUCUCUCUCUCUCUCUCUCGGCAGGGGGUGGGUACUGGGGAUUGAACUCAGGGCCACUCGACCACUAAGCCCCAUCCCCAGCCUUAUUUUGUAUUUGAGAUAGGAUCUCAUUGAGUUUCUUAGCACCUCCCCAUUGCUGAGGCUGACUUAGAACUCAUGAUCCUCCUGUCUCAGCCUCCCAAGCUGCUGGGGAUCACAAGCAUGUGCCAUAGUGCCCAGCACCUGUUCUCUUUAAAAUGGCAUUGUUGGCUAUGUAUUCUUUUUUUUUUUCAGAAGAAGAUAUAUUUAAUUUUAUUUUUCCAUAUUUUAUUGUUACAUUAUAGUUUCACAUAAUGGUAGGAUUCAUUGUUACAGAUUCAUACAUGCACACAAUAUAACAAUAUAACUUGGCCAAUAUCAUUCCCCAAGAUUUCCCCUUUUCCUCACUUUCUCCUUCCACUGGCCCCUUUCUUCUGCUCUUCUGAUCUUCCUUCAAUUUUCAUGAGGUUCUGCUCAACCAUUCUUUUCCUCUUUCCUCUAUAGUUUCUACAUGAGAGAAAAAAAGCACACAACCCUUGACUUUCUGAGUUUGACUUAUUUUAGUUAACAUAAUAUUCUCAAGUUCCAUCCAUUUUCCUGAAAAUGACAUGAUUUAAAACUCCUUUGUGUAUGUACGCCACAGAUUCCUUUCACAGAUUCACAGAUCCAUUCAUCCAUGUUGGACACCUAGGCUGGGUCAAUAGUUUGACUAUUGUGAAUUGUGCUGCUAUAGUAUAUUUCUUAGGAUAAAUGCCAAGGAGUGGUAUAGCUGGAUCAUAAGGUGUUCCCAUGCCUAGUCUUUAGAGGAACCUCCAUACUGAUUUUCAUAAAGGUUGUACUAAUUUACAACCCUACCAGCAGGAUAAAAGUAUUUCUUUUAAAAAAUAAAUGUUGGCAAGGAUGUGAGGGAAAAAUAUAUAAUCAUCCAUUGUUGGUGGAACCAACCUAGGUGUACUUCAACAAAUGGGUAAAGAAAAUGUGGUAUAUAUACACAAUGUAAUUUUACUCAGCCAUAAAGAAGAAUUAUGGCAUUGUAGAGGUCUUUCACCUCCUUGGCUAGAUUUAUUCCUAAGGUCAUUGGGUUUUGAGAUUUUUUGGUUUACUUUUUGUUUGUUUGUUUGUUUGUUUGUUUGUUUUUUUUUUUAGCUAUUUUGGAUAAGAUUUCUCAGCAGAUUCAUUGUUGAUAUAGAAGAAAAUUAUUGACUUUUGUAUGUUGAUUUUUUAACCUGUUACUUAGUUGAAUUUAUUAAUUCUAGCAGUCUUCUGGUAAAUAUUUAUGGAUCUUAUACGUAUGGGUUCAUAUCUGCAAACAUAUAAACAUAUCUGAUAAUUUGACUUCUUCCUCUCUUAUUUUUAUCCUUUUUUUCCUUCUCUUGCCUAAUUGCUCUGACUAUAAUUCCUAGCACUACAUUGGACUAGAGUGGUAAAAGCAGUCACCCUUGUCCCAAAUCUUAAAGGAAAUACUUUCAAUUUUCCUCCAUUCACAAAGAUGUUGGUUUCAGACUUAUCAUAAAUAGCCUUUAUGAUGUCAACAUAAGAUCAUUCUAUCCUAGGCUAAAGAAAAAUUAAAGGGACAUGAAUAGGAAAAGAAGAGUUCAGACUAUCCCUAUUUGCCAAUGACAUGACUCAUGAUUCUCUAUUUAGGAAAAAAAAAAAAAAAACUUUACCAAAAACUUCUAGAACUCAUAAACAAAUUCAACAAAGUAGCAGGAUAUAAAAUCAACACCCAUAAAUCAAUUGUGUUCCUAUAGACCAAUGAUAAAUUAGCUAAAAAAUAAA